GACGAACGCUGGCGGCGUGCCUAAUACAUGCAAGUAGAACGCUGACUACAUUAGCUUGCUAGAGUAGAAGGAGUUGCGAACGGGUGAGUAACGCGUAGGUAACCUGCCUACUAGCGGGGGAUAACUAUUGGAAACGAUAGCUAAUACCGCAUAACAGUGUUUAACACAUGGUAGAUGCUUGAAAGAUGCAAUUGCAUCACUAGUAGAUGGACCUGCGUUGUAUUAGCUAGUUGGUGGGGUAACGGCCCACCAAGGCGUCGAUACAUAGCCGGCCUGAGAGGGUGAUCGGCCACACUGGGACUGAGACACGGCCCAGACUCCUACGGGAGGCAGCAGUAGGGAAUCUUCGGCAAUGGGGGCAACCCUGACCGAGCAACGCCGCGUGAGUGAAGAAGGUUUUCGGAUCGUAAAGCUCUGUUGUAAGAGAAGAACGUGUGUGAGAGUGGAAAGUUCACACAGUGACGGUAACUUACCAGAAAGGGACGGCUAACUACGUGCCAGCCGCCGCUGUAA
rnacentral:rRNA from 1 species